GGGUUGUGAGGUUAAGCGACUAAGCGUACACGGUGGAUGCCCUGGCAGUCAGAGGCGAUGAAGGACGUGCUAAUCUGCGAUAAGCGUCGGUAAGGUGAUAUGAACCGUUAUAACCGGCGAUUUCCGAAUGGGGAAACCCAGUGUGAUUCGUCACACUAUCAUUAACUGAAUCCAUAGGUUAAUGAGGCGAACCGGGGGAACUGAAACAUCUAAGUACCCCGAGGAAAAGAAAUCAACCGAGAUUCCCCCAGUAGCGGCGAGCGAACGGGGAGCAGCCCAGAGCCUGAAUCAGUGUGUGUGUUAGUGGAAGCGUCUGGAAAGGCGCGCGAUACAGGGUGACAGCCCCGUACACAAAAAUGCACAUGCUGUGAGCUCGAUGAGUAGGGCGGGACACGUGGUAUCCUGUCUGAAUAUGGGGGGACCAUCCUCCAAGGCUAAAUACUCCUGACUGACCGAUAGUGAACCAGUACCGUGAGGGAAAGGCGAAAAGAACCCCGGCGAGGGGAGUGAAAAAGAACCUGAAACCGUGUACGUACAAGCAGUGGGAGCACAGAGCAAUCUGUGUGACUGCGUACCUUUUGUAUAAUGGGUCAGCGACUUAUAUUCUGUAGCAAGGUUAACCGAAUAGGGGAGCCGAAGGGAAACCGAGUCUUAACUGGGCGUUAAGUUGCAGGGUAUAGACCCGAAACCCGGUGAUCUAGCCAUGGGCAGGUUGAAGGUUGGGUAACACUAACUGGAGGACCGAACCGACUAAUGUUGAAAAAUUAGCGGAUGACUUGUGGCUGGGGGUGAAAGGCCAAUCAAACCGGGAGAUAGCUGGUUCUCCCCGAAAGCUAUUUAGGUAGCGCCUCGUGAAUUCAUCUCCGGGGGUAGAGCACUGUUUCGGCAAGGGGGUCAUCCCGACUUACCAACCCGAUGCAAACUGCGAAUACCGGAGAAUGUUAUCACGGGAGACACACGGCGGGUGCUAACGUCCGUCGUGAAGAGGGAAACAACCCAGACCGCCAGCUAAGGUCCCAAAGUCAUGGUUAAGUGGGAAACGAUGUGGGAAGGCCCAGACAGCCAGGAUGUUGGCUUAGAAGCAGCCAUCAUUUAAAGAAAGCGUAAUAGCUCACUGGUCGAGUCGGCCUGCGCGGAAGAUGUAACGGGGCUAAACCAUGCACCGAAGCUGCGGCAGCGACGCUUAUGCGUUGUUGGGUAGGGGAGCGUUCUGUAAGCCUGUGAAGGUGUACUGUGAGGUAUGCUGGAGGUAUCAGAAGUGCGAAUGCUGACAUAAGUAACGAUAAAGCGGGUGAAAAGCCCGCUCGCCGGAAGACCAAGGGUUCCUGUCCAACGUUAAUCGGGGCAGGGUGAGUCGACCCCUAAGGCGAGGCCGAAAGGCGUAGUCGAUGGGAAACAGGUUAAUAUUCCUGUACUUGGUGUUACUGCGAAGGGGGGACGGAGAAGGCUAUGUUGGCCGGGCGACGGUUGUCCCGGUUUAAGCGUGUAGGCUGGUUUUCCAGGCAAAUCCGGAAAAUCAAGGCUGAGGCGUGAUGACGAGGCACUACGGUGCUGAAGCAACAAAUGCCCUGCUUCCAGGAAAAGCCUCUAAGCAUCAGGUAACAUCAAAUCGUACCCCAAACCGACACAGGUGGUCAGGUAGAGAAUACCAAGGCGCUUGAGAGAACUCGGGUGAAGGAACUAGGCAAAAUGGUGCCGUAACUUCGGGAGAAGGCACGCUGAUAUGUAGGUGAAGCGACUUGCUCGUGGAGCUGAAAUCAGUCGAAGAUACCAGCUGGCUGCAACUGUUUAUUAAAAACACAGCACUGUGCAAACACGAAAGUGGACGUAUACGGUGUGACGCCUGCCCGGUGCCGGAAGGUUAAUUGAUGGGGUCAGCGCAAGCGAAGCUCUUGAUCGAAGCCCCGGUAAACGGCGGCCGUAACUAUAACGGUCCUAAGGUAGCGAAAUUCCUUGUCGGGUAAGUUCCGACCUGCACGAAUGGCGUAAUGAUGGCCAGGCUGUCUCCACCCGAGACUCAGUGAAAUUGAACUCGCUGUGAAGAUGCAGUGUACCCGCGGCAAGACGGAAAGACCCCGUGAACCUUUACUAUAGCUUGACACUGAACAUUGAGCCUUGAUGUGUAGGAUAGGUGGGAGGCUUUGAAGUGUGGACGCCAGUCUGCAUGGAGCCGACCUUGAAAUACCACCCUUUAAUGUUUGAUGUUCUAACGUGGACCCGUAAUCCGGGUUGCGGACAGUGUCUGGUGGGUAGUUUGACUGGGGCGGUCUCCUCCUAAAGAGUAACGGAGGAGCACGAAGGUUGGCUAAUCCUGGUCGGACAUCAGGAGGUUAGUGCAAUGGCAUAAGCCAGCUUGACUGCGAGCGUGACGGCGCGAGCAGGUGCGAAAGCAGGUCAUAGUGAUCCGGUGGUUCUGAAUGGAAGGGCCAUCGCUCAACGGAUAAAAGGUACUCCGGGGAUAACAGGCUGAUACCGCCCAAGAGUUCAUAUCGACGGCGGUGUUUGGCACCUCGAUGUCGGCUCAUCACAUCCUGGGGCUGAAGUAGGUCCCAAGGGUAUGGCUGUUCGCCAUUUAAAGUGGUACGCGAGCUGGGUUUAGAACGUCGUGAGACAGUUCGGUCCCUAUCUGCCGUGGGCGCUGGAGAACUGAGGGGGGCUGCUCCUAGUACGAGAGGACCGGAGUGGACGCAUCACUGGUGUUCGGGUUGUCAUGCCAAUGGCACUGCCCGGUAGCUAAAUGCGGAAGAGAUAAGUGCUGAAAGCAUCUAAGCACGAAACUUGCCCCGAGAUGAGUUCUCCCUGACUCCUUGAGAGUCCUGAAGGAACGUUGAAGACGACGACGUUGAUAGGCCGGGUGUGUAAGCGCAGCGAUGCGUUGAGCUAACCGGUACUAAUGAACCGUGAGGCUUAACCUUACAACGCCGAAGGUGUUU
rnacentral:rRNA from 1 species